AAAAGAAAAGAAAACAGAGAAGUUUAGUACUCCCCUUGACAAGGAUAGAAGAGGCCCUUGGGCCUAACAACACCCACAUGCUUACGGCAGCGCCUUAAGAGGCAGAGGCAGAGGCAGAGUCAAGA